rnacentral:tRNA from 1 species
UGGCGCCUGGUGUGGCUGGCGAUGCUCGUGCUGCUGGCGCGCGGACUGCUGCAGGCGGUCGCGCUCACCUGGUCGCAUCUGGUGGACGCCGGC